GACGAACGCUGGCGGCGUGCUUAACACAUGCAAGUCGAACGGAAAGGCCCUGCUUUUGUGGGGUGCUCGAGUGGCGAACGGGUGAGUAACACGUGAGUAACCUGCCCUUGACUUUGGGAUAACUUCAGGAAACUGGGGCUAAUACCGGAUAGGAGCUCCUGCUGCAUGGUGGGGGUUGGAAAGUUUCGGCGGUUGGGGAUGGAAUCGCGGGUUAUCAGCUUGUUGGUGGGGUAGUGGCUUACCAAGGCUUUGAAGGGUAGCCGGCCUGAGAGGGUGACCGGCCACAUUGGGACUGAGAGACGGCCCAGACUCCUACGGGAGGCAGCAGUGGGGAAUAUUGCACAAUGGGCGGAAGCCUGAUGCAGCAACGCCGCGUGCGGGAUGACGGCCUUCGGGUUGUAAACCGCUUUCGCCUGUGACGAAGCGUGAGUGACGGUAAUGGGUAAAGAAGCACCGGCUAACUACGUG
rnacentral:rRNA from 1 species